rnacentral:lncRNA from 1 species
AUAUGCAUGGAGUGCCAGGGUCAUGAAGAACGCAUCAGUCCAAAAGACAGACGUAAAAGCUGCAAUGGAAGAAAGAUAGUUCAUAUUGAUAAAGGCAUGAAAGAUGGUCAGAAAAUAACAACAUUCCACGGUGAAGGAGACCAAGAGCCAGGACUGGAGCCAGGAGAGCUUAUCAUUGUGUUAGAUCCGAAGGACCAUGCUGUUUUUGUAAGGCGAGGAGAAGAUCUUUCCAUGCUUAUGGACAUACAGCUGGUUGAAGCAUUAUGCAGCUUCCAAAAGCCAGUAUCUACUCUUGACAACCGAGCCAUAGUCAUCACCUCUCAUCCAGUCAGAUUGUCAAGUAUGGGCAUGUAAAAUGUGUACUAAAUGAAGGUAUGCCAAUAUACUGUCGGCCAUAUGAAAAGGAUGUCUAAUCAUUGAGUUUAAGGUAAACUUUCCUGAAAAUGGCUUUCUCUUUCUUGAUAAACAAACUUUGUUGGAAAAACUCCUUCCUGAAAGGAAGUAGAAGAGACUGAUGAAAUGGAUCGGGUUGAACUGGUGGACUUAGAUCCAAAUCAGGAAAGACGGUGUCAUUAUAAUGGAGAAGCAUAUGAGGAUGAUGAACAGCACCCCAGAGGUGGCGUUCAGUGUCAGACCUCUUAA